CUUUAUAUUGUCCAAGUGGCUAGGUUUGCCACAGCCAGUAUAUCAGUCAGUCAGUAUAUCAGUCAGUUAGUCUAUCAGUCAGUCAGUCAGUCUGUCUAUCAGUCAGUCAGUCAGUCAGUAUAUCAGUCAGUCAGUCAGUCUAUCAGUCAGUAUAUCAGUCAGUCAGUCAGUCUAUCAGUCAGUCAGUCAGUCAGUCAGUCUGUCAAUCAGUAUAUCAGUCAGUCAGUAUAUCAGUCAGUCAGUCAGUAUAUCAGUCAGUCAGUCAGUAUAUCAGUCAGUCAGUCAGUAUAUCAGUCAGUCAGUCAGUCAGUCAGUCUGUCUAUCAGUCAGUCAGUCAGUAUAUCAGUCAGUCUGUCAAUCAGUAUAUCAGUCAGUCAGUAUAUCAGUCAGUCAGUCAGUCAGUCAGUAUAUCAGUCAGUCAGUAUAUCAGUCAGUCAGUCAGUCAGUCAGUAUAUCAGUCAGUCAGUCAGUCAGUAUAUCAGUCAGUCAGUCAGUCAGUCAGUAUAUCAGUCAGUCAGUCAG